GGAUUAGAGCGCGCGCUUGAUAAGCGUGAGGUCGGAAGUUCAAGUCUUCCCAGGCCCACCACACUCAUCGAGUGAGCAUUCGUCUUCUGGUUACGGGGCCAUAGCUCAGCUGGGAGAGCGCGUGCUUUGCAAGCAUGAGGUCGUCGGUUCGAUCCCGUCUGGCUCCACCAGAUGGUUUGAUCACCGACUACUCAUACCGUCGUCCGCGAAACAUCACUUCGCACUUACUAGUCCGGAUGGACAGUAAGCUGCGUGAUUUCUGACAUCGUAAAGAGGAGAUCGAUCCGAGUUGGAUCGGGCAACAAGUAAUUGUUGCGCGAUACUUCAUUAUCUCCGGAUCAUUUCGGCGCUCGUGCGUCUUCCAGGGUAGCUCACAAGGCUGCGUCUGAAGGACACGCGAGUUGUAAAUGAUCCUUUUAGGAAGCUUGACCGCCUCGCUAUCGGAACGAUCUUACGAAGCAAGCUGGUCUUUCUAAUCAUUGUCCGGCUGCAGAUAGCGUUCAUCGAGGGCGCGUGCCUUAGAGACUUAGGUUUCUUGGCAAUUCUGCAGACAACAUUCUGCCGAGUGUGUGGACAUUGAUAAUGAGAGCAAUCAAGUGCUUAAGGGUGUUCGGUGGAUGCCUUGGCGCUGAGAGGCGAUGAAGGACGUGCUACGCUGCGAUAAGCCGUGGGGAGCUGCGAAGAAGCUUUGAUCCAUGGAUUGCC
rnacentral:misc_RNA from 1 species